rnacentral:rRNA from 1 species
GAUGAACGCUGGCGGCGUGCCCAAUACAUGCGAGUCGAGCGAACGGACGAGAAGCUUGCUUCUCUGAUGUUAGCGGCGGACGGGUGAGUAACACGUGGAUAACCUACCUAUAAGACUGGGAUAACUUCGGGAAACCGGAGCUAAUACCGGAUAAUAUUUUGAACCGCAUGGUUCAAAAGUGAAAGACGGUCUUGCUGUCACUUAUAGAUGGAUCCGCGCUGCAUUAGCUAGUUGGUAAGGUAACGGCUUACCAAGGCAACGAUGCAUAGCCGACCUGAGAGGGUGAUCGGCCACACUGGAACUGAGACACGGUCCAGACUCCUACGGGAGGCAGCAGUAGGGAAUCUUCCGCAAUGGGCGAAAGCCUGACGGAGCAACGCCGCGUGAGUGAUGAAGGUCUUCGGAUCGUAAAACUCUGUUAUUAGGGAAGAACAUAUGUGUAAGUAACUGUGCACAUCUUGACGGUACCUAAUCAGAAAGCCACGGCUAACUACGUG